rnacentral:rRNA from 1 species
AUUGAACGCUGGCGGCAGGCCUAACACAUGCAAGUCGGACGGUAGCACAGAGGAGCUUGCUCCUCGGGUGACGAGUGGCGGACGGGUGAGUAAUGUCUGGGGAUCUGCCCGAUAGAGGGGGAUAACCACUGGAAACGGUGGCUAAUACCGCAUAACGUCGCAAGACCAAAGAGGGGGACCUUCGGGCCUCUCCAUAUCGGAUGAACCCAGAUGGGAUUAGCUAGUAGGCGGAGUAAUGGCCCACCUAGGCGACGAUCCCUAGCUGGUCUGAGAGGAUGACCAGCCACACUGGAACUGAGACACGGUCCAGACUCCUACGGGAGGCAGCAGUGGGGAAUAUUGCACAAUGGGCGCAAGCCUGAUGCAGCCAUGCCGCGUGUAUGAAGAAGGCCUUCGGGUUGUAAAGUACUUUCAGCGGGGAGGAAGGCGGUGAGGUUAAUAACCUUGCCGAUUGACGUUACCCGCAGAAGAAGCACCGGCUAACUCCGUGCCAGCAGCCGCCGUAA